rnacentral:sRNA from 1 species
AUUUCUACGACUUUUCUCUCAGCUGAGCCUUUCCCUCCGGCCCUGAUGCUCUUCAAUUCGGUGCUCCGCCAGCCCCAGCUUGGCGUCCUGAGAAAUGCUCCCAAUAUGGAACAUGUACUAGCAGUUGCCAAUGAAGAAGGCUUUGUUCGAUUGUAUAACACAGAAUCACAAAGUUUCAGAAAGAAGUGCUUCAAAGAAUGGAUGGCUCACUGGAAUGCCGUCUUUGACCUGGCCUGGGUUCCUGGUGAACUUAAACUUGUUACAGCAGCAGGUGAUCAAACAGCCAAAUUUUGGGACGUAAAAGCUGGUGAGCUGAUUGGAACAUGCAAAGGUCAUCAAUGCAGCCUCAAGUCAGUUGCCUUUUCUAAGUUUGAGAAAGCUGUAUUCUGUACAGGUGGAAGAGAUGGCAACAUUAUGGUCUGGGAUACCAGGUGCAACAAAAAAGAUGGGUUUUAUAGGCAAGUGAAUCAAAUCAGUGGAGCUCACAAUACUUCAGACAAGCAAACCCCUUCAAAACCCAAGAAGAAACAGAAUUCAAAAGGACUUGCUCCUUCUGUGGAUUUCCAACAAAGUGUUACUGUGGUCCUCUUUCAAGACGAGAAUACCUUAGUCUCAGCAGGAGCUGUGGAUGGGAUAUUCAAGUCUGAUUUUGGAUUCCACUGGCUCUACUUUAUUUGCUAAUUGCACAGAUGAUAACAUCUACAUGUUUAAUAUGACUGGGUUGAAGACUUCUCCAGUGGCUAUUUUCAAUGGACACCAGAACUCUACCUUUUAUGUAAAAUCCAGCCUUAGUCCAGAUGACCAGUUUUUAGUCAGUGGCUCAAGUGAUGAAGCUGCCUACAUAUGGAAGGUCUCCACACCCUGGCAACCUCCUACUGUGCUCCUGGGUCAUUCUCAAGAGGUCACGUCUGUGUGCUGGUGUCCGUCUGACUUCACAAAGAUUGCUACCUGUUCUGAUGACAAUACACUAAAAAUCUGGCGCUUGAAUAGAGGCUUAGAGGAGAAACCAGGAGGUGAUAAACUUUCCACGGUGGGUUGGGCCUCUCAGAAGAAAAAAGAGUCAAGACCUGGCCUAGUAACAGUAACGAGUAGCCAGAGUACUCCUGCCAAAGCCCCCAGGGUAAAGUGCAAUCCAUCCAAUUCUUCCCCGUCAUCCGCAGCUUGUGCCCCAAGCUGUGCUGGAGACCUCCCUCUUCCUUCAAAUACUCCUACGUUCUCUAUUAAAACCUCUCCUGCCAAGGCCCGGUCUCCCAUCAAUAGAAGAGGCUCUGUCUCCUCCGUCUCUCCCAAGCCACCUUCAUCUUUCAAGAUGUCAAUUAGAAACUGGGUGACCCGAACACCUUCCUCAUCACCACCCAUCACUCCACCUGCUUCCGAGACCAAGAUCAUGUCUCCAAGAAAAGCCCUUAUUCCCGUGAGCCAGAAGUCAUCCCAAGCAGAGGCUUGCUCUGAGUCUAGAAAUAGAGUAAAGAGGAGGCUAGACUCAAGCUGUCUGGAGAGUGUGAAACAAAAGUGUGUGAAGAGUUGUAACUGUGUGACUGAGCUUGAUGGCCAAGUUGAAAAUCUUCAUUUGGAUCUGUGCUGCCUUGCUGGUAACCAGGAAGACCUUAGUAAGGACUCUCUAGGUCCUACCAAAUCAAGCAAAAUUGAAGGAGCUGGUACAAGUAUCUCAGAGCCUCCGUCUCCUGUCAGUCCGUAUGCUUCAGAAAGCUGUGGAACGCUACCUCUUCCUUUGAGACCUUGUGGAGAAGGGUCUGAAAUGGUAGGCAAAGAGAAUAGUUCCCCAGAGAAUAAAAACUGGUUGUUGGCCAUGGCAGCCAAACGGAAGGCUGAGAAUCCAUCUCCACGAAGUCCAUCAUCUCAGACACCCAAUUCCAGGAGACAGAGCGGAAAGACAUCACCAAGCCCGGUCACCAUCACUCCCAGCUCCAUGAGGAAAAUCUGCACAUACUUCCAUAGAAAGUCCCAGGAGGACUUCUGUGGUCCUGAACACUCAACAGAAUUAUAGAUUCUAAUCUGAGUGAGUUACUGAGCUUUGGUCCACUAAAACAAGCUGAGCUUUGGUCCUCUAAAACAAGAUGAAAAAUACAAGAGUGACUCUAUAACUCUGGUCUUUAAGAAAGCUGCCUUUUCAUUUUUAGACAAAAUCUUUUCAAUGCUGAAAUGUACCUAAUCUGGUUCUACUACCAUAAUGUAUAUGCAGCUUCCCGAGGAUGAAUGCUGUGUUUAAAUUUCAUAAAGUAAAUUUGUCACUCUAGCAUUUUGAAUGAAUAGUCUUCACUUUUUAAAUUAUUCAUCUUCUCUACAAUAAUGACAUCCCAGUUCAUGGAGGCAAAAAACAAGUUUCUUGUUAUCCUGAAACUUUCUAUGCUCAGUGGAAAGUAUCUGCCAGCCGCAGCAUGAGGCCUGUGAAGGCUGACUGAGAAAUCCUCUGCUGAAGACCCCUGGUUCUGUUCUGCCUCCAACAUGUAUAAUUUUAUUUGAAAUACAUAAGUCUUUUCACUAUGCUUUUGUGGGGUUUUUUUUAAGUAUGUGUAAAAAUGUGAUGUUCAGAUAAGUACAUUUAUAUCAGUUCAGUGUUAAAAUGCAAUCUCGAGUUAAAGUCAUCUUUAUUUUAAAUGCAGUGAUAAAUGUCAAUUCUUUGGAGAAACUAGGAGAACAAUAACAGAAAGCUGUGUUUGUCUUUUUUCUCUCAAAUAUAUCUCCCGUAUGAGAUUUCAGGUCCCCAUGUUUUCACCAAGCAAUCUGCUAUGUCAGCCAACCCAACAUCACUUUCUACAGGAGGUUAUGGUUUUUGCCAUUUACUAGAGGAAGAUGUUUUAUAAAAUCAAUUUGGGGUUUGAAUUCAGGUGCAGUCAUCAGUUCUUUAGGGGCUGCAAUGUUUUAAAAAAAAUAAGUCAUCAGAUUUUAAGAAAAAAGUGAUGAUUUCUUAUUGAUAUUUUUGUAACAGAAUAUAGCUCUUAACUGAAAAUCCAGAACCAGACACAUAAAUCUUGAGUUUCUUUUCACGUACAUAAAAAGCAAUAGCCUUUUAGUACAGAUAGCCCUGAGCCAAAAAGUAAUAGAAUUUUCUCUAGAUAUUUAAUACAGAGUGUAUAGACUGACUCUAAGUUAAUAAUGUGCAAAAUAUCUUAAACAUCCCUCCCCUUAAUCAAAAAUUAUGUAUCGGUGAUCUUGAACCAUUGUUUUAUAUUUUUCACCUUUGUAACCUCAUGGAAAGAGGCUUUACAUACUUUCUAUGUACUAUGUACUUAGAAGGGAGCCUCCUUCCAGUCAUGAAACUUCAUUUGUUUUAUCCAUAUCCCUGAGGACUAUGUAGACUUUAUGUCAGUUUUUGUCAUUAUUUGAAAAUCUAUUCUGACAACUUUUUAAUUCCUUUGAUCUCAUAAGUUAAAGCUAUAACAACUGAAAUUGCAUGGAUCAAGUAAGCAUAGUUUCAUCCAGGGAGAAAAAUAAAAGGAAGCCAUAGAAUUGCUUUGGUCAAAACCAAGCACACCAUAGCCUUAACUGAAUAUUUAGGAAAUCUGCUUAAUCUGCUUAUAUUUGGUGUUUGUUUUUUGACUGUUGGGCUUUGGGAAGAUAUUAUUUACGACCAAUAUCUGCCAGUAAUGCUGUUUAUCUCACUUGCUUUGAAAGCCAAUGGGGGAAAAAAAUCCAUG